rnacentral:sRNA from 1 species
CCCCGGGUUCCCCUGGUUGUUUUCUCACAGCCGAGGAACUGAAUCGGGCAGCUCUCCUUUGAGGAGUGGUGAGCAGUUGUGUGACACAUAUCAAGGAUCCUUGUCGUGACACAGCGAUGCCAAGGUUCGGUCCUCCAGUCUAUCACGCACUAAUCUGCUCGGGUCCCCCCUGAGUCCCAGGCAAGCAAGACACAGCCUCUCUUUGCUUCAGUUGGGACCAACGAUAACACUGUCCUCCGAGGGUCCUAGAGAGUCCCCUCACGAGACCUGGAAGAGUCUUAGGAUGUGUACGGCUGGUAAUCAGCAAUGUUCCCUUUGUUGGGCUCUCCUCUCCUUCAGCCUCAAGUGCAGAGGCUUUGAGAAACCCUAGGCCGACAAUCAUGAACUUGGGUCCUAAGGCUUGAGUAUAAAAACUCUCAUUCUGAGCAUCGUGGAGGAAAGGCCUGCUGUCUCCUCUGUCCUGUUAGAUCUACUCCUAUCUUUCACAGACAGGUUCAGCAUCCCCUCUUGAAGGCAGCUGCAUCCGGAGGAAGCCAGAAGGAGGCACAUGCCGCAUUCUAUCAGCAAGAGGACCAGAACCCUUGGACAGAGCACCAGGAAACAGUGGGAAAGUAUGUUGGGUCAGAAGUUGACCUAUAUGGGAACAGGAAUGGAGCCCGAGGGACAUGGUCGAGGUCGUGGGAAUGGAGAAAAGCAAAUGGGGAAACCCUGGGAAUACCAAUCCUGUUUCGUGCUGACAGACUUGGGAGCUAGAGAUAAGGGGAGGCGAGAGUGGAGCUAACCAGGAGAGAGAGAACCCCAGGAGCUCCCAUGGGAUGUUCACCCCUUCACAGCCUAGCAGAGCUCCUCACGCUGGUCUAGACCCCCCCCCUCUCCUCCAGGAGACACAGAAGAGCCAGAUGGAAAAGCCACUGACUAAAUUAAAACACACUAAUUGGGCAUUGGAUUUCUGCUGAAAAUGACCCCUCCCAGCGUCACUGGUGAGGUACUGUGUGGGUGUCGGAUGUACGACUAAGAGGAAAUUCUUCCACUCUGUACAAA